ensembl:antisense Gm27206 predicted gene 27206
AAUGGUGGGAAAGGUGAGGCUCACCUCAUCCAAGAAGAAGUAUGGCUCCUCAAUCUCUCGCAAGGGGUCUCGAAGGAAGCUGAGCAUGAAUUCCUGCACCUGGAGCCGGUCGACAGCCCACAGCUCCUGCCAGGCUCAGGGUCUUCAAGCGGAAUUCCAUUCCAUAGAGGAUGACAAAGCAGUGUGAUUGAUCUGGCCGGAAGGCAGGGUCUUCUUGGUAGCGGUCAAAGUCCCGAGAAGUCUUCCCUGGACGGAUCUCCUUGAUUUCUCGGAUAUCAACUGGGAUGACGUCAGGCCUACAGCAAGAACAACAAAUGUUCCUGCCCCUGCAUUGCAUCCUGGAUCCUGGCCUCAGUUCUACCACUGGAUUGUCUCCUACUAGAGAUCCAAACGGGAAGCUCCAUCCUGCAGUAAUCAUCUGGUCAAUGCCUCAGGCUGCUAUGAGAUAAAUAUAGAUAGCCCUGGAUCUUGCAGUUCUCCAAAUUCUGCCUCGAGAGUGCUGACAUCACUAGGUGUGAGCUACCAUGAUAGGCUCUUCUCAAAAAGAUUUAAAUAAUGAGGAGCCACCUACACCUAUGCCAGGGACUAACAUCACAUGGUAGCUCUAAGGCCAGACAGUCUAGUACACCAGGAGAAUCCUGGUGGUCUGUGCUCCUCAGCACCCCUAGUGGAGACCUUCCUACUCCUAUGCUCUCAGAAAAUCUGCCCUGGUCAGACAUUCCUGAAGCUGCCAGGCCUGGCAGGAAGAACCAAGAACUACAGGCCCUUCAAUUCCAGCUGUGAGGUUCUGGUAGUCCCUCACUCUUUCAGAUUCAGUUUCCCAAGCUGGAAAACUGAAUUCUUCUCACUUCACAAGAUAAGGGCCUUACUGAUAAGUACCUGUCUGUGAGCCUGGUGCUAUUGACAGGGGUCCUGUGAAAGACAGCCAUGGGGGGAGAUGGCACAGCUGCCUGCCAGGGCUCUGCUCGAAGGGCAAACU